GCAGUUUCCCACGGAACCGGAAACGGAAGGCGCGUGGGACGGUCCCGAGGCCGCAGGUAAGUUUCUUGUUUCUAGUAAAUGGCUGCUGCGCGGUUCCCCCGACUCAAACCUCAAGGUCUCGAAGUCACUAUGGCUCUUAAACCCCAGCACCCGGCCCUCCGCCGCUAGGCAAUCCAGACGUCGCCGUUACAGGGCGGGUGUAUGUCCUCGGGGUUUGAAGUCGUUCUGUGCCUGGUACCUGUCCUUGGUUUUCUGCUUUCGAUCCACGUAGACACGGCCUUUAGGAUCGUUUUUCCUGCUUGAAACCCUUUCCUACCUCCGCCCCCAGCCACGUGAGGUCCUCUUGCACUAGGAGGACCCGCGCCCACACCGUGGGGGCGGCACCGGCCGCCCCGCUCCCGGAGAGGCCGCGUCCUCGUCCUGGUCCUGGGAUUCGGGAGCCCGCCCUCUUCUGAGACACCCGCCCUGCAGCCCCGCUGUCCUCGCGUCCGUUCAGGCCGGUCCUUCUGCCCCGCAGGCCUCCGCUACGUAGUAGCCCUUCUCCGCAUCCCCCGGAAGGGAAGGUGACCCCAGUCAGUUUCAAAACCCUGUGUUCUGUCCCAAAUUCCACCCCUCUGGAAAACGGUCGUCUUCGGCAGGCAGGCAUCUUCGUCGCCCUCCAUGUAUAUACGACGGCGAGGAGGAUCAGGAGAAGCAGAAACGGAGCGACUGCCAGAGAAACGGAAAACCUGAGAAGGAGAGAUGAAUGGGGGAGAACGGAUCAGAAAUGGUUAGUUGGGAGUUCCCUUAGUGGCUCAGUGCAAACGAAUAUGACUAGCAUCCAUGAAGACCCUGGCCUCCCUCCUGCGAGUCAAGGAACCUGCCAUGCCGUGAGCUGUGGUGUAAGGUCGCAGGCGCAGCUCCGAUCUGGCGUGGCUGUGACUCUGGCAUAGGCCAGCAGCUACAGUUCCAAUUUGAGCCCUAGCCUGGGAACUUCCAUAUGUUGGGUGCGGCCCUAAAAAGACAAAAAGAAGAAAGGAAGAAAUGCUUAGUGGGAGUUCCGUUGUGGCUCAGCCGUAAGAAAUAACUAGUAUUCACAAGGUCGCGGGUUGGAUCCCUGGCCCUGCUCUGUAGGUUAAGGAUCCAGCGUUGCCGUGGCCUAGGCUGGCAUCUGCAGCUCCGAUUCCACCGCUAACCUGGAAACGUCCUCGGGGUGCGGCCCUAAAAAGACAAAAAAGAAAGAAAGAAAUGGUUUGUGAUAGAAAUGAUCACAUGCCUUAGUCCUCAAGUCCCAGACCCCAGGUUUUGUCCCUGAGCCUCUGGAAUCUCGAGAGUUGAGUUUGGCUUCCUUGCUGAAUGAGAAAUGGAAGGGAAAGCUGUUUGGUAGGGUGUCCCAUGAAAUGGCCUGUUCUACACAGGGAGAAUUUUGUAGCUGUCAAUCUAAUUUGUAGUAAAGGAACAAGUCCUCUUUCUGUUUCUUAAGCGACUUUAAUUCGACCUGCAGGAAACCGCCCCACAGCAACCCCUUAGACACCCACAUUCCCCGGCUGUCCAGCCUCAGGAGCUGGGCAGUCGGCCACCUGGUGGCAAAGUAGCUUUUAUUGAAACCAUUCUCAGAUUGCUCUGCGGAAACAUCCUCGUUUUCGACAUCAGUGGUCCCCGCAAGUGUCCCUUUUCACUCGCAAUGGUUCCGAACAGUAACCGAAAGGGUGUAACUUCAAGAUUCGGGGCAGCCCCCCUCGCUCCUCGCCC
ensembl:lncRNA